rnacentral:rRNA from 1 species
AGAGUUUGAUCAUGGCUCAGAUUGAACGCUGGCGGCAGGCCUAACACAUGCAAGUCGAACGGUAACAGGAAGCAGCUUGCUGCUUCGCUGACGAGUGGCGGACGGGUGAGUAAUGUCUGGGAAGCUGCCUGAUGGAGGGGGAUAACUACUGGAAACGGUAGCUAAUACCGCAUAAUGUCGCAAGACCAAAGAGGGGGACCUUCGGGCCUCUUGCCAUCGGAUGUGCCCAGAUGGGAUUAGCUUGUUGGUGGGGUAACGGCUCACCAAGGCGACGAUCCCUAGCUGGUCUGAGAGGAUGACCAGCCACACUGGAACUGAGACACGGUCCAGACUCCUACGGGAGGCAGCAGUGGGGAAUAUUGCACAAUGGGCGCAAGCCUGAUGCAGCCAUGCCGCGUGUAUGAAGAAGGCCUUCGGGUUGUAAAGUACUUUCAGCGGGGAGGAAGGGAGUAAAGUUAAUACCUUUGCUCAUUGACGUUACCCGCAGAAGAAGCACCGGCUAACUCCGUGCCAGCAGCCGCGGUAAUACGGAGGGUGCAAGCGUUAAUCGGAAUUACUGGGCGUAAAGCGCACGCAGGCGGUUGUUAAGUCAGAUGUGAAAUCCCCGGGCUCAACCUGGGAACUGCAUCUGAUACUGGCAAGCUUGAGUCUCGUAGAGGGGGGUAGAAUUCCAGGUGUAGCGGUGAAAUGCGUAGAGAUCUGGAGGAAUACCGGUGGCGAAGGCGGCCCCCUGGACGAAGACUGACGCUCAGGUGCGAAAGCGUGGGGAGCAAACAGGAUUAGAUACCCUGGUAGUCCACGCCGUAAACGAUGUCGACUUGGAGGUUGUGCCCUUGAGGCGUGGCUUCCGGAGCUAACGCGUUAAGUCGACCGCCUGGGGAGUACGGCCGCAAGGUUAAAACUCAAAUGAAUUGACGGGGGCCCGCACAAGCGGUGGAGCAUGUGGUUUAAUUCGAUGCAACGCGAAGAACCUUACCUGGUCUUGACAUCCACGGAAGUUUUCAGAGAUGAGAAUGUGCCUUCGGGAACCGUGAGACAGGUGCUGCAUGGCUGUCGUCAGCUCGUGUUGUGAAAUGUUGGGUUAAGUCCCGCAACGAGCGCAACCCUUAUCCUUUGUUGCCAGCGGUCCGGCCGGGAACUCAAAGGAGACUGCCAGUGAUAAACUGGAGGAAGGUGGGGAUGACGUCAAGUCAUCAUGGCCCUUACGACCAGGGCUACACACGUGCUACAAUGGCGCAUACAAAGAGAAGCGACCUCGCGAGAGCAAGCGGACCUCAUAAAGUGCGUCGUAGUCCGGAUUGGAGUCUGCAACUCGACUCCAUGAAGUCGGAAUCGCUAGUAAUCGUGGAUCAGAAUGCCACGGUGAAUACGUUCCCGGGCCUUGUACACACCGCCCGUCACACCAUGGGAGUGGGUUGCAAAAGAAGUAGGUAGCUUAACCUUCGGGAGGGCGCUUACCACUUUGUGAUUCAUGACUGGGGUGAAGUCGUAACAAGGUA